rnacentral:rRNA from 1 species
UACGUAGGGGGCUAGCGUUGUCCGGAUUUAUUGGGCGUAAAGAGCGUGUAGGCGGCCAUGUAGGUCCGGUGUGAAAACUCGAGGCUUAACCUCGAGAUGUCAUCGGAAACCAUUUGGCUAGAGUCCGGAAGAGGAGAGUGGAAUUCCUGGUGUAGCGGUGAAAUGCGCAGAUAUCAGGAAGAACACCAAUGGCGAAAGAAGAUCUCUGGGACGGUACUGACGCUGAGACGCGAAAGCGUGGGGAGCGAACAGG